GAUGAACGCUAGCGGCAGGCUUAACACAUGCAAGUCGAGCGGAAACAUGAGUAGCAAUACUUGAUGACGAGUGGCGCACGGGUGCGUAACGCGUAUGCAACUUACCUCUAACUGGAGAAUAGCCUUCCGAAAGGAAGAAUAAUACUCCAUAAUAUUACGAUGUGGCAUCACAUUGUUCUUAAAGCUUCGGCGGUUAGAGAUGGGCAUGCGUCUGAUUAGCUUGUUGGUGAGGUAACGGCUCACCAAGGCAACGAUCAGUAGGGGGCCUGAGAGGGUUAUCCCCCACACUGGUACUGAGACACGGACCAGACUCCUACGGGAGGCAGCAGUGAGGAAUAUUGGUCAAUGGACGAAAGUCUGAACCAGCCAUGCCGCGUGCAGGAUGAAUGCCCUAUGGGUUGUAAACUGCUUUUUAUAUAGGAAUAAACCCCUUUACGUGUAAAGGGCUGAAGGUACUAUAAGAAUAAGGACCGGCUAACUCCGUAG
rnacentral:rRNA from 1 species